GAAGAAGGAAACAAAGGAACUGCUGCUUCAUCAUCUUCGAGAUCUCCGCCGCAACACCACAGAGAAGGUGAAGUCGUUAGCUUCGCCGCCGUGCCUCCGCCUAACUCCGACGUCACGCCGUCAUCUCGACCCGCGUCAACCAUCUUCCGCCUUUUAUGCUCACGGUGGAAUCAAAUCUAAUAGCCUAUCGUUCUCCUCAUCUGCAUCAGGUUUCGUGUCACUACCACUCGCUGUAGAGAAGGAGCUACGCUCGUCGUUCGUACAGACGGAAGCUGUUCGACAUGUUACUGGGUCGCUUAUCAGACUUUGUUAAGUUUACUUUGCCUGCCUCGUUAAAAAGCCAUCAAGGAAAGGCAAGGGAAACCAUAAUGAACCAGGGAAAAAAUUGGAAGCUUGUUCCUGUUAAUGAAAAUGCACAAAGGAAGAGGAAGCCAUAUCCUGCAGGUGAGAUGUCAUACUUUGAAUGUUGAGUAUUGUCUCUUUUGUGGGUGUGAUUUGUGGAGGUACUCUUACUUGUUUUAUCUCCAUCUUAGUUAGUUAUUUCAAGUUUCCUAUCAGACUCUCAACUAUUUGAGUCUC